rnacentral:rRNA from 1 species
GAUGAACGCUAGCGGCGUGCCUAAUACAUGCAAGUCGAGCGAACGGACGAGAAGCUUGCUUCUCUGAUGUUAGCGGCGGACGGGUGAGUAACACGUGGAUAACCUACCUAUAAGACUGGGAUAACUUCGGGAAACCGUAGCUAAUACCGGAUAAUAUUUUGAACCGCAUGGUUCAAAAGUGAAAGACGGUCUUGCUGUCACUUAUAGAUGGAUCCGCGCUGCAUUAGCUAGUUGGUAAGGUAACGGCUUACCAAGGCAACGAUGCAUAGCCGACCUGAGAGGGUGAUCGGCCACACUGGAACUGAGACACGGUCCAGACUCCUACGGGAGGCAGCAGUAGGGAAUCUUCCGCAAUGGGCGAAAGCCUGACGGAGCAACGCCGCGUGAGUGAUGAAGGUCUUCGGAUCGUAAAACUCUGUUAUUAGGGAAGAACAUAUGUGUAAGUAACUGUGCACAUCUUGACGGUACCUAAUCAGAAAGCCACGGCUAACUACGUG